AGAGUUUGAUCAUGGCUCAGAGCGAACGCUGGCGGCAGGCCUAACACAUGCAAGUCGAACGGGCACCUUCGGGUGUCAGUGGCAGACGGGUGAGUAACACGUGGGAACGUACCCUUUGGUUCGGGACAACUCCGGGAAACUGGAGCUAAUACCGGAUAAGCCCUUCGGGGGAAAGAUUUAUCGCCAUAGGAUCGGCCCGCGUCUGAUUAGCUUGUUGGUGAGGUAACGGCUCACCAAGGCGACGAUCAGUAGCUGGUCUGAGAGGAUGAUCAGCCACACUGGGACUGAGACACGGCCCAGACUCCUACGGGAGGCAGCAGUGGGGAAUAUUGGACAAUGGGCGCAAGCCUGAUCCAGCCAUGCCGCGUGAGUGAUGAAGGCCCUAGGGUUGUAAAGCUCUUUUAGCGGGGAAGAUAAUGACGGUACCCGCAGAAUAAGCCCCGGCUAACUUCGUGCUAGCAGCCGCGGUAAUACGAAGGGGGCUAGCGUUGCUCGGAAUCACUGGGCGUAAAGGGCGCGUAGGCGGCCAUUCAAGUCGGGGGUGAAAGCCCAGGGCUCAACCCUGGAAUUGCCUUCGAUACUGUUUGGCUAGAGACCGGAAGAGGUUAGUGGAACUGCGAGUGUAGAGGUGAAAUUCGUAGAUAUUCGCAAGAACACCAGUGGCGAAGGCGGCUAACUGGUCCGGUUCUGACGCUGAGGCGCGAAAGCGUGGGGAGCAAACAGGAUUAGAUACCCUAGUAGUCC
rnacentral:rRNA from 1 species